CCCAAUAUCAGCUCACGGGAUUCCGGUAAACCCGACCCAAAUCAUGUCACAUCCGGUACCCGUUUACAGCUGCUUGGUCCGCGCCUCCGCAUCGAACCGCUCGCCUGGAUCCGCUCUCAGGCGAUCAAGCGAAGGGCAUUAAAUAUUAUGGCAGGCGAUUAAGCGAAUGGCAUUAAAUAUUAUGGCAGGCUUGGAGGCUCCCGUUUGUUGAUGAUGCUUGGACGAGCUGCUCUCCUCUUCGCCGUUACGUGAGAUCGGUUAGUGGGAUUCUUGGAUUGCAAGUUGCAACCCACCCAUUCCCUCGCUCGUAGGAAUGGAAAUCUGAGUGUUACCACCAGAAGAAGCUUAUUGACGUUGAGUGGAAUCUUAUGCAUGCUGGAAGACCAUGGAGAAAAUGCAGCAAGCAAACUGAGACUAGGCAAGGAUGUUCAGCAUGUGGUUGAGCAGUGGAAAUUUCCUCUUGUUGUCGAAGAGCUAGAGGAAUUUGAAGGAAGGAGGAAAAAGUGAUCGCUGUCAAAGGGAGAGUUGUUUGAAUUGGCCACCACAUGUAAGAAAGUCUACGAAGAUGAGUUUGAUCAUAUAGAUGACUCCCAUGUAAAAAUCCAGAAGUGCAAACUGAUGCUGAUGAGGAAGACAACAAGGAUAUGCAAAUCAAACGCGAUGAUGCAGGGUCUGACAGUAAUCAGACGAUUGAAAUGAUCAAAGAAGAAAUAGAUUUUGCUGGCAAAAAUCUUCUGGGAAUUAUGAAUAGUAAGAAAGUCGGGAAAAAAGAUAUUAUUCAAAGAGGAUCAAGCUAGGUGGAAGUCCGCUAGUAUCUUUCUUAAUGCCAUUUUAUUUUGUUUAGCUGUGUUGCCAUUUUCCAAGUUGCAAAGAAGGGGAUGAAUAUGGUAACGAUUUUUAGUUUAAGUUGUUUUUUCACUGAUGGGUACAGGUGUUAAUAUUCCCAAUAGAUUGUGACAACAUUGUAGGUGAUGAAUUUUCAACGUAUCAUCUGGCUGUCACUUCCUA